UUGAUUAAAAAUGUCUAUCAAUCAGAUAGGGCGACUUUCAUGGCAUGACAGACACUGUGAAUGGAUAGCUAGCUAGCUAGUUAUAUGAGGACAAAACAACUCUUAAGUGAACUAUGAAGCCAGAAAGUUAACGACAUAAUUUAAGCUUAGCGACAACAUUGCUAGUUUUUCAUUCUUGCUAAUAAUAUCAGCUAACGUUACCGUGGUUUCUGGUUUUAUUAGCUAACGCUCGUCAGGUAUUUAGCUAGCUAGCUAGCAAUGAUGUAAAGAAGAGACAACCAACACACAAACCAACAAAUAGACUAUCACUGCAACAAGUGUAGUUGGACAUAAUGACAUUCAUACUUCACCUCCAUGAAAGAAAGUAUAUGAGACUUCAGCGACAAAUAAGGUGGUCAUUGUGCCGGACUAUCUCUUGGACGGGAACAGUUGCCAGGCAACCAACUGAAACCAACGGAAGAUACUGCUCCAGAAACAAACCAGGGAGCUCAAACAGCGGGAGAAGGAUUCAGAGCUCUGCUGGCAAUGUGAGCAGAGCAGAAAUGCUGCUGGGGGAAAACGCAGGCAAAAGUCAGACAACCUCCCUACUCUCACCAUCAGUGCACAUGACCUUGGGGCCAGAGCGAGCUAGUGAGCGAGCGGACGGAGGGACCGCCCAGCAUGCGUUGGUUCAUACACAGAGGAAUUUGGAAAGCAGAGUGGAGUGCGGGUCCGCG